rnacentral:misc_RNA from 1 species
GAAAUGCGAUAAGUAAUGUGAAUUGCAGAAUUCAGUGAAUCAUCGAAUCUUUGAACGCACAUUGCGCCCGCCAGCACUCUGGCGGGCAUGCCUGUUCGAGCGUCAUUUCAACCCUCAGAACCCCUUGCGGGAUCUGGCGUUGGGGAUUGGCAUCCAGCCUGCCCCGAAAUCUAGUGGCGGUCCCUCCGCGACCUCCCCUGUGCAGUAGCGAUACCUCGCAGCGGGACAGCGGUCUGACCACGCCGUAAAACCCCCAACUUCUCAAGGUUGACCUCGAAUCAGGUAGGAAUACCCGCUGAACUUAAGC